rnacentral:rRNA from 1 species
CAGCAGCCGCGGGAAUACGUAGGUGGCGAGCGUUGUCCGGAAUUAUUGGGCGUAAAGGGCUCGCAGGCGGUUUCUUAAGUCUGAUGUGAAAGCCCCCGGCUCAACCGGGGAGGGUCAUUGGAAACUGGGAAACUUGAGUGCAGAAGAGGAGAGUGGAAUUCCACGUGUAGCGGUGAAAUGCGUAGAGAUGUGGAGGAACACCAGUGGCGAAGGCGACUCUCUGGUCUGUAACUGACGCUGAGGAGCGAAAGCGUGGGGAGCGAACAGGAUUAGAUACCCGUGUAGUCCCUGUCUCUUAUAC